rnacentral:lncRNA from 1 species
UUUACCACUAUGGCCCAAAUAACCAUGUUUCCCAAAUAAAAAUGAUAUCAUUAGAUUGCCAAUUUGAGCCUUGUUUGUUGAGCCUUUUAUUUCUUAUCACCAGAUAUGUCUACCCUUAUACCUGAAACAUUUUUCCUUACCCUUUCCAAGCGAGCAAUGCGAGAUUGUCUUAUGAGAAACGUUUGUGAAGUACUGUGAAGAUGUUUGGCAAAAGAAUAAGUGUGGGGGUAUUUCAUGUUUGUGAUUAAUAAAAAAAAAAAAAAAAAAAAAAAAAAAAAAGAAAGAAAGAAAGAUUGUAUAAAAAGAAAAUAAAAAGUUUUUAAAGUUCAGUUUAAGAGUAUGGUUGGAGGUGCUAGAAGAAUUGCUGGAGAGCUUGAGUUCUUAUAAAUCUAAAGAAAAGAAUUGCUUGCAAUGUAGCUUGGAACUUGUGUUUUCCUAUUCUUUCGUUUCAAUAACCCUAUCCCUAAGCCUCAUUACAUCCAAUAAAAGUCCUCUUAAUUUAAGUUUUGCAAUUAUGACUGUGGAGAAGUGAUCUUUAUGCAAGCUUAUGGUAGAAAUUUCACAUUUGAUUCUUUGAGCGAAACACACUUAAAACUAAACACAUAUGUGAUUGAGUGUAUAUCCCGUGAGAAGGUCACUAGUUUGCAUAUGAUGAUUUUAAAAAUAAAAACUUGAAAUUGCAUUAGCAUGGC